rnacentral:tRNA from 10 species
GCCCGGAUGAUGGAAUUGGUAGACAUACCGGACUUAAAAUCCGGAGCUUUCGGGCGUGCGGGUUCGAUUCCCGCUCCGGGCACCA